rnacentral:rRNA from 1 species
GCGUGAGGAACCUGCCUCAAAGAGGGGGACAACAGUUGGAAACGACUGCUAACACCGCAUAAGCCCACGGGUCAGCAUCGAUCUGAGGGAAAAGGAGCAAUCCGCUUUGAGAUGGCCUCGCGUCCGAUUAGCUAGUUGGUGAGGUAACGGCCCACCAAGGCGACGAUCGGUAGCCGGACUGAGAGGUUGAACGGCCACAUUGGGACUGAGACACGGCCCGGACUCCUACGGGAGGCAGCAGUGGGGAAUAUUGCACAAUGGGGGAAACCCUGAUGCGGCGACGCCGCGUGGAGGAAGAAGGUCUUCGGAUUGUAAACUCCUGUUGUUGAGGAAGAUAAUGACGGUACUCAACAAGGAAGUGACGGCUAACUACGUGCCAGCAGCCGCGGUAAAACGUAGGUCACAAGCGUUGUCCGGAAUUACUGGGUGUAAAGGGAGCGCAGGCGGGAAGACAAGUUGGAAGUGAAAUCUAUGGGCUCAACCCAUAAACUGCUUUCAAAACUGUUUUUCUUGAGUAGUGCAGAGGUAGGCGGAAUUCCCGGUGUAGCGGUGGAACGCGUAGAUAUCGGGAGGAACACCAGUGGCGAAGGCGGCCUACUGGGCACCAACUGACGCUGAGGCUCGAAAGUGUGGGUAGCAAACAGGAUUAGAUACCCUGGUAGUCCACACCGUAAACGA